CCCCAGCUCUAACAGGAAGUCAGCUGCAGCGCCUGGUGAUCCUCCCAAAAGCUGCAUCUAUGAGUGUCCCAGGCUUUGGGGGUACCCUGGAUCCAGACCAGGACAGUGAGUCCUAUAAAUGAAGCUGUGACCAGGGUCCAGUGACAUCGUGCAGAGGAAAGCCACGGUGGGGACUGGAAGGCUCUCCUGGGCCCGUGACAUGAUGUUGCAUCUCUAUUCUGCGUUCUUUUACUUCCGGGUGUGAUGUGAAUCUUGAGACCCUCUGCUGGGCACAGGGAUGCAGAGUACCAGCAAGGCCAGAGUGAAACAAGCUAACUGCACAGAACCUCACAGGAACUGAGAGGAGCCCUGGAGCCCGAGUCCCUAGUCUGCUGAUGAGCACACCAGGCCCACGCCAAGGUGAAGGCACCCCAAGUCCCCGCUGGGAAGUGCAGCGCCAGGGCUCAACCCCCUCCUGCACCCGGACCAGUGCCCAGAAACCCAGGAGGAGCUCAGGCACCGAGUUCCUUUCUCCUCUGCGCCUCAGAUCUACACUGGGCCCUCCCUCCAGGACCCCCUCACAAUGCUGUUUGCGAUUCUUUUCUGCUUCGCUCCUCACCCCAGCUCCCCCUUAGCGAACAGCCAGUCCCACCACCCCUCACUCCCUGGGGAGUCACAAGGAAGAAGGUCCUAGUCUUCGCUGGGGCCAAAUCUUUCCUUUCCUUUCUGAUCUGUAGCUAACUCUUUUAUUUACAUCAUAGAAGAUUGGAAAACACAUUGAACACAAGUUUUUAUGAUGCCACCAUCAAGUAAUAACCUUUCUUCUUUUUUUUUUGGUACUGGGGAUCAAACUCAGGACUUUGUGCUUUUGAGGCAGGCGCAGCACCAGUAAGCUAAAUCCCCAGCCUGAGUAAUAACUAUUUUUAAUGCAUUAACACAGUAUUUCCACAUAAGUAUCUCUUUCCCUCAUUUCAUAUUGUGCAUAGGUAUAUAUUGUAUUUUUCAGUUUUAAUGCAGUAUAAUUAAGAUCAAAUCAUAUAUAUGUAAGGCAUGCAAUGUGAUGUGUUGAUAUAUAUGUAUAAUGAAAUGAUCGCCACAAUAAAUCGAGUGAAC